GGCAAAAUGCCUGAAACAGGGCUAUUUUGAUAGAAUAGAGUAUGUAAUAAAUUUUACUUUUGCUA
rnacentral:tRNA from 1 species